AACCGCUGAAGCCGCCGUUGUUUCUGCAGGUACAGGCAGUACCCCCAAGGACUAGAGCAAGGACUACUGAAGAGUUGAUCGCCUCCAACGCAGCUGUGGUUGCAUCGCAUGGCAGAGUGCUAGAGUCUAACGCUGUUGUGGUGGAGUCAAACAACAGGCUGACGGCUGCCAUCUAUCAGCUCAUCGCCCGCCUCGGCGAAUCCAGCAACAGUAGGCCAUGAAGUGGGGCAAGGAAGGUUGGUUAGAUUAUUUAGGCAGAGGCGCUGUGCUGCUUGCAAACGUUGGGUCGUAUGGUCGAAUGCCUGCUGAAUUGUUUCUAAUGCCUGCUUGCAGACUUUGGGCCCUAUCGAAUGCCUGCCGGAUUGUUUGUAGUUCAAGUUUUGCCACCAUGAUAGAUAUCCCAACUAGAUGACAGGAGAUAGGUGGGUUUCCUUUUUGCUGGUAUUGCUGAGAAGGCAAAUUUGACAAUUUGACCUCGAAACGAAAUAAAAUCACAGAAUGAACUGGGUGCGAAACUAUUUCACACCCCUGACCCUUUUGUGUAGCGCCCGCCACGCCGGCGCCCCACCCUACGGUGCAGCGCCUAGCUCUGGGGCGUUGAACCUCUGUCCACCGUGGCAGCCAAUGGGCCCGCACCCAGUAGUGCAACGCCUCCGAGCUAGGCGCCGCACAUGUAAUGUGCAGCGCCUAGCGGCUAGGCGCUGCACUGUGACUUAUCCAGCCACUUGGCUGGGCCCCCCUACCCCACCCCCACCCCCACCACACACUCUCUCACUCUCUCCCCAAGGUUUGCCCCCUCUCCCACUCUCUCCCCCUCUCAAAUCUUCUUCCAAAUCUUGAAAAUUUGAAGAAUUUGUCCGUGGAUUUCGAAGUCAAACCCUCCCUCAAGGUAAUAAUCUCCGAUCCCCUUGUUUUGAUCCAAGUAAAGUUCUCCCAUUGCUCAUUUGUUGCUAGUUUGGGGAAACCCUAGUUUUGUUAGGAUCUAGAGAUUUGCAUGGAGAUGUGAGAUGUUUGUUAGCCAAUUUCUAUGAUUAGGCUUUGUUAGUAUGCUAGGGUUAUUCUUAUGGGUGUUCUUAUGUUGGUGCUAGGGUUAGGUUUAGGGCUAGGGUUAUGGUUAGGGUUAUGGUUAUGGUUAGGGUUAGGGUUAUGGUUAGGGUUAGGGUUGUUGUUUCAUAUAUACAUUAGGGUUUGUAUUCCGUGUUAAUCCAUGGAUUAGUACUCAUGGAAGCAAUGUUACCUUGUGUUCUUUGAAUGCUUAUAGGGAUGGGAAGAACAUGUGUGUUUGUUCCUCAUGGGGACAAAGACGCUUUUUUGAAAGGCAAUAAAGAACCGGACCCGGAUGAGCUUGACAUGGUGUUUGAUAGUAGUCCUAGCUAUGCGGAGCUCUUGCAACAAGUUAGGAAAGAUUUGAAUUGGAUGGACCCUAGUGAUAUCAUUGAGUUGGAGGGAAGGCAUAAUGUUGGUUUUGGAAUGCACAUCCGUUGGAAGACAAUGCGUGUCAACUCGGAGCAACGUUGGGUUGCAUACAAGGAGACGGUGGCCGAAUCACUAGACAAGGCUCUUGAGUUAUUGCAACGAAGAAGGUUGAUUCAAGUUUGCAUUUGGACUUGAACCGGAACCCCUCCCCUUUGGUUGCUAGUAGCCCCCCACCCUUGAAGCGAGAUGAAAUUGUUGAACCUCUUUUGACCGAAGAAGUGAGGCCAACAUUGAGCCCGUGUAGAAACAACCAAGAUGAAUCUUUGCAAGAGGACAAUGAUGAGUAUGCGGACGAUGACAAUGAAGUUGAUCUCCAUGACAACAAUGUGGGUGAUCUCGACAAAUAUCAUUUGCAAGAGACAAUGGACCAUUCCAUCCCUUUUUCCCGUGCAUAUGCAUCGGACUCGGAUGACGAUGGUCCCGAUGAACAAGUUGAUGCGGAGGGGUUCACGGUGAAGGAGGCCGAAGCUUUCGAGAAGGUAUUUGGUCGGGAUCACCGGACUACAUUGUUCAAGGAUGUUAGUCUCGCGGAUGAAGCCGUGGUAGAUGGUGGCCAAUGUGUAGCUCUUGGGGUUAGGCCAAGCUCUCACCGUGAUUUGGUAGACGACAAGAACCGGAUUGCUAAAGGUUCUAAGUUCGACAGCUUGUUGGAUUUGAAGAUGUGGCUCGACAACUACUCGGUUACGCAUUAUCGUCCACACAAGGUGGUGCACUCGGACGUCAAUGUGCGCUACACGGUUGCAUGUGCAUGUGAAGAUGAAAGGAGGUCCAACUUGGACUUACAAGAGGCCGUGGUGGUGGUAGAGGUCGUGGAAAGGAGGUCCAACAAGGAGUGGCAAGACGCCGUGGCGGUUGUCCGUGGAUUGUGCGUGCAAGACCAUGGAAAGGAGGUCCUACUUGGCAUGUAGUGAGUUGUGUGCCAACUCACAUGUGCCAAGGCAAAAGGGUGGAUGGCAAGAUUGUGUCCGAAGACCACAAACAACUCACGUCCGAUUUCAUCGCUUACAGGCUCUCCAACUCAAUAUCCACACUUCCAACAAUGAGCGUCCAACAUGUCAUUGACCUUGUGAAAGCCAUCUUUCAUUAAAAGGUGAAAUACGGCAAGGCAUGGAAGGCGAAGCAAGCCGCAUUUAAGAUGUUGUAUGGUACAUGGGAGGAAGCAUACAACCGAAUCCCUAGGUUGUUGUUAGCCAUGGCCGCGACAAACCCGGGCAUGGUUCAUGUGGUCAAGCCUCAUGGGCACCAAACAACGGUUCAUGAAGGAAGGAAAGUCAGAGUAUUUGGUCGUGCUUUUUGGGCGUUCGAGCAAUGUGUGAGGGCUUUCGAACAUUGUAGGCCGGUCAUCGCAAUUGAUGGCACGUUCUUGACCGGACAAUACAAGGGCACCUUGUUGGUUGCGAUAGCAAGUGAUGCCAAUAACCGGGUGUUGCCAUUGGCAUUUGCUUUGGUUGAGGUGGAAAACAAUGACAACUGGGAGUGGUUUCUACAUCUUUUGAGGACGAAGGUGUUACCCGCUGAAAGGGAAAUUUGUGUCAUAUCGGAUCGGAAUCAAGGAAUUCUUAACGCGGUGGAGAUUGACAUUCCCGGGCAUGCUCCGUUGGACCAUCGAUGGUGCAUGAGGCACUUUUGUUCGAACUUCUAUAGGGCAUGUGGCCUUAAGGAGUUGGCCGAUGAUCUUCAAUAUUGUUGUCUCGCUUUCUCCGAUAAGCGCUUCACCACUUUGUACAACAAAUUGCUCGCACACAAAAAACUUGAUCCCGGGGGUCAAGAUUUUCUCAAUAGGCACAUUCAAUACCGGAACAAGUGGGCACGUGCUUUUGAUGAAGAUGGCCGGAGAUACGGUCAAAUGACAAGCAAUAUGGCCGAAUGCUUCAAUAGGGUGCUCAAAGGUGCACGUGGAUUACCCGUGACGGCAAUAGUUCAAUACACAUUUGACAAGAUGAAUGCGUACUUUGUAAAGUACUCGAUGGAAACCGAUGCACAGAUAGCGGGUGAGAACCCACGGAAGUACAAGUACAAGUUCCCACCCAAAGUUGAUGAAUGGUUGGUAUUUCAAUCACGGAAGGCGGACUCAGAAGAAACUAUAUUAUAUGACAACGAAGAGUGGAAGUACGAAGUGAAAGAGCCAGGAGGAACCACAAACGAUGGCCGGCAACAUGGAGGUUGGGCUUUCAAGGUGUCGUUAACACAAUGUGAUUGCACUUGCGGGAGGCCAUUGUUGCUUCAUCUCCCAUGCUCACAUUUGUAUGCCGCCGGUCGCGUUAGGAAUGUGGACAUCAAUCACCCACGCACCGUGAGGGAGUCGGAGUUCUCAAUCAUGACGGUCAAGAAAACAUGGGCUCCCCGCUUUCACCCAUACUUUGACCAAUCACAAUGGCCGGAGUAUCAUGGAGUUCAACUAUGGCCGGAUCCGGAGUUGAAGGUUGUUAAACGGGGUAGACGUAAGACAAAGCGUCUUAGAGGCGACAUGGACGGAUGGGGCCAUGGUGGGCGCCGCGAAGCGGGCAACGACCAAUUCCAAGAGCCUCGUGAGAGCUCCCGUUGUGGGGAGUGCAAAGGUCAUGGCCACAACAAAAGAAAAUGUACGAAACAAAGGAAAAGGUCCAAGAAAAAUGAUGCAAGCACAAGCCAACAAGGAGCUACACAAGGGAGCCAACCAAGUGGUAGCCAACCAAGUGGUAGCCAACCUAGUGGUAGCCAACCUAGUGGUAGCCAACAAGUGCCAAGCCAACCAAGUGGUAGCCAACCUAGUGGUAGCCAACAAGUGCCAAGACAACCAAGUGGUAGCCAACAAGUGCCUAGCCAACCAAGUGUUAGCCAAAGAGGAUCUAGGCAACAAAGAGGCCGGCACAACUUGGACUUACAAGAGGCCGUGGUGGUGGUAGAGGUGGUGGUGGUGGUCUAGGCCGUGGUGGUGGUAGAGCUCGACGUGGUGGUAAUGGCCGUGGUGAUGGUCUCGGCCUUGGUGAUGGUCUUGGCCUUGGUGGUGGACUUGGCCGUGGUGAUGGACAAGCGCAAGUUCGUUAUAGAGGAAUGUUUGGAUACCUAGAUGGACCGUUUCCGUAUGUUCCUCACUAACUAUAAUGUAUCAUAUGUUCUUGUUUUUUCAUAUGUUCUUCUUUUUCAUAUGUGCUUCCAUUUGUUCUUAUUGUCCUUACUAACCAUUAUGUUUCACUCAUUGUAGGUAUGGCGGCUUCCCAACCCAACAAACCAACGAUGAAGGAGGAUGGCGAAGAUGAGAUGGCGGGAUGGUGGGAGAAGGCUGCGAAGAAGCUUAGAGAGGAGGAUGCAGCCAAGCUAAAGAAGAAGAAGGAAGAGGAGCUUGAGAACGAGAGGAAGCGAAAACAGACUGCGGCAAAUGCGAUGCGCGCUAGGGAGCAAGCGUUGAUGAGGAAAGUUGAGGAGGCACAAAAGAAGCGUCGACAGGAUUUUGAAGAAAGAACCAUGAAGCUUUGGGCAAUUGCAGCUGAAAAAGAAGAGAGGGAGAAGCAGAUAUUCAUGGAGAGGGUGGUUAAGGAGGCUCACCUCAUAAGAAAAAGGGAGGAGGAAGAGGAAGAAGAGAGGAAGAAGAAGAAGGGAAAGGGGCCUUGCUCUACGCAAUAGAGCUAUGUCAUCCUCUUCGAUUUGGUUGUGAACUACUAUGUCUCCUCUUCGAUUUGGUUGUCAACUACUAUGUGCCGUGAACUACUAUGUCUCCUCCUCGAUUUGGUUGUAAGAACUACUAUGUGCGAUGAACUACUAUGUCUCCUCCUCGAUUUGGUUGUAAGAACUACUAUGUGCGGUGAACUACUAUGUCUCCUCCUCGAUUUGGUUGUAAGAACUACUAUGUGCGGUGAACUACUAUGUCUCCUCCUCGAUUUGGUUGUCAACUACUAUGUGUCGUGAAGUACUAUGUGUCGUGAAGUACUAUGUGUUAUGAACAACUAUGUGUCAUGAAGUACUUCGUGCAUAUGUUCUUUUCACAGUUGUUUGCUUGCUAUGUGUUUGCUUGCUACUUCACAUCUGGGCGCUGCAAUCUACAUCUGCAUAGCUACAGACCUGUGCAGCGCCUAGCCCGGAGGCGCCACACUCUACAGUGCAGCGCCUGCGCGGUAGGCGUUGCACAGUAUAGUGCGACGCCUCCAGGCUAGGCGCUGCACAAACACUUAGCGAAUUUAUUGCCUCAAACUGGAGGCCUACCUUCUGUGGCUCUCUGGAUAGCUACAGACCUGUGCAGCGCCUAGCAUGGANNNNNNNNNNNNNNNNNNNNNNNNNNNNNNNNNNNNNNNNNNNNNNNNNNNNNNNNNNNNNNNNNNNNNNNNNNNNNNNNNNNNNNNNNNNNNNNNNNNNNNNNNNNNNNNNNNNNNNNNNNNNNNNNNNNNNNNNNNNNNNNNNNNNNNNNNNNNNNNNNNNNNNNNNNNNNNNNNNNNNNNNNNNNNNNNNNNNNNNNNNNNNNNNNNNNNNNNNNNNNNNNNNNNNNNNNNNNNNNNNNNNNNNNNNNNNNNNNNNNNNNNNNNNNNNNNNNNNNNNNNNNNNNNNNNNNNNNNNNNNNNNNNNNNNNNNNNNNNNNNNNNNNNNNNNNNNNNNNNNNNNNNNNNNNNNNNNNNNNNNNNNNNNNNNNNNNNNNNNNNNNNNNNNNNNNNNNNACACUAUACUGUGCAACGCCUACCGCGCAGGCGCUGCACUGUAGAGUGGCGCCCCCAAGCUAGGCGCUGCACAGGUCUGUAGCUAUCCAGAGAGCAACAUAAGGUUUGGCAAGUUACAGACCUUUGCAACGCCUAGCUUGGAGGCGCCACACUCUAUAGUGCAGCGCAUGCGAGCUAGGCGUUGCACAGGUCUGUAGCUAUCCAGAGAGCAACAGAAGGUUUGGCAAGUUACAGACAUGUGCAGCGCCUAGCCUGGAGGCGCCGCACUCUACAGUGCAACGCCUAGCACGCAGGCGCUGCACUGUAGUGUGCAGCGCCUCCAAGCUAGGCGUUGCACAGGUCUGUAGCUAUCCAGAGAGCCACAGAAGGUUUGGCAAGUUACAGACCUGUGCAACGGCUAGCUUGGAGGCGCCAUACUAUACAGUGCAACGCCUGCGGGCUAGGCGUUCCACCGUAUAGUGUGGCGCCCCCUAGCUAGGCGCUGCACAAACACUUAGCAAAUUUUUUGCCUCAAACUGGAGGCCUACCUUCUGUGCCUCCUCCCCCCCUCUACUGGGUCAUUUUCAGCCACGGUUUAACAAUUCGUAUAGGAAACAUUAAGGUUCAAAAAGGGUUCACCACAGACAUCAUUUCUUAGAAAGGACCAUCACAAUAAGUUCAAGUUUAACAUAGAGCUACCACCACUCCAAGUUCAACGACAUAACAAAUUCCACAUUACAGGUACGACCACUCCAAGUUCAACGACAUAACAAAUUCCACUCGAAGUUCAACAUUAUAAAAAAAUGACGAUGACUAGUGCUUUCCACGCUUGCUCGCUCCUCCCCCCUCUUGACGCUUAUCUUCUUCACCUUCCUAGGAAGAGGAACCCGCUCCGGCUCUGGCUCCGGCUCCGGUUCGACAUCGUCAUCCAAAUAGUCAUCCAAAGCCGCCAUCCGCGAGGUGCCGACCGUCCUUUUGCCUCUUUGGCCUCUCUGGGUGAAGUCUUCAGGUGUGUACUUGUUGAUUCCCUUCCUAGGCUUCAACUCGUAUGCAGACCAAGCCUGGUACGUCCCCAAGGUCAUAUCAUCAGCAACCUAUGCAUCAACAAAAGAUAUGGAAAGACCGUGUGUGAGGAUAUAGUUAGCAAUGCAUCAACAAAUGGAUAUAUAUCGUCAUGACAUACCUCUUGGGUGACCACACCCACAUCCUCAUCCUCGAAAUGUUCACCAUGGCUCUGCCCCGAAGCGGCAUCUGAUGGUGUCGCUGACCUAGACCGUUCUGGUGAUACAUACUCGGGGUCACGACAACCGAAAAGGUUUGAUAGCCGCCUUAACUUUUGGCCCUGGCGCUGCAACAUGUACAAGUGAAUGAGACAUGGAACGUACCAACAAAUGUUAACUGCUAGUUUGAAGGAGAUGUGAACCUUAAUGAAUGCUCGAAGUGCACCUCCCCCAUCGCUUUUGCCAGCCGGGGUUGUUUCCAGAAUAGUCUCGGUCUCAUCAGCUGCUUUCUUGAUCUGGGCACGCUAUGAACAAAAACGGUAUCAAAGUGUUAGGCAAGCGAAGAUGUGAAUAUUGCGAAUGGAAAAGCAAAAAGGGCUAACCACAAAGUUCAUCAUUGGAGCUGAAGGGAUCACCGAGUUGCCUUUCCUGACUAAUGCGUUGUACUGGUGCUGGGCUACCUCAUCAAAAACGGUGGGUUCUUCCAGAAUCUCCUCAGCAUACGCCGGCUGGCAUACAUCCACGCAGGUACUUGCAAGAAACCAUGCGAGAUAGUUGUUGAACGCGAUCGGGCAGUGCUCACGAAGCUGGGCUCGUUUUCCAGCCCUUGCUUGCUCCACACUAAGAGCGAACUGCACGACAUACUUCCUGUGAUGGUUGGCCCAAUCCUUGAUCUUCCGCUGCUUUUUCCUAUCCAACCUACAAGUUAGAAACAGAAUAUUAGCAUCAUCGAAACCGUCGAGAAGCUGCUAAGUGCUCAAGGUUAAUUAUAUCUUACGCGUGUAGCAACUUGUCCGUGUCCUCCCACUCCGGCGGGUGUGGCUGGAACAAACCAAACUGGCGGAACACCCGAUGUGGCAGGUGAAGCUCAACCGCCCAGUUGCAUAUCAGUGGGCACCGCAUAUGCCAGAGAUCCCUAUCCCUAAUGCACAUCGGAUUCAGCCUGAACUCUAUAGGGUUACCAAAACUCUCUCCUUUUCCAUACAGCUCCCAUUCCACCUGCAAAAUGGGAUUGAAUGCAAAAUUGAUAUCGAGUUACGAUACAAGCAUGAUUAUCACUUAUGCAAUGUCGGUUCACCUGCUCAGGCGUGAUCGCGUCCAGCUCGCUCUUGUACAACUUGUACAUUACCGAGGGAUCAUCUGUCGUCUCAUUUAACACAUCCCACUUGUAAGCCCAAGUGGGGAGCCGUAGUGGGUCGUCUUGAUCGUCCCAAUCCUCGUACUUCACGGUCUUCGGUCGUCCAACCGGCAAACGCUCCCAGCUCCAUAUGGAAAGUGCGAGCAGACAACCACCAAUACCUCCAGUGUGCCUACAACUGGCUUCGUCCAACUACACAUAAAAGAGAACAUGGUCAAAUUUGCCGCAAGAGCGCAUUGAUAAUGUAUCAAUGAAGUGAAAAGGAAACAACUUCAUACCUGUCGAUACAAGUAAGCUAGUGUCGCCGAACCCCAACUCCAUUUGCUAUCGAAGACAGUCAACGCCUUCAGCCACAUCCAUGGAGCAUUCUUGCCUGUGCCAUCAGCAAACAUUGUCCUGGAUAUCACGUACCACAUGUAGACACGAGCAUAUGUCUUCACCAUGUCCUCAUUAGCAUCAUCAGGGCAAUGACAGAAGUUCAAUGAUAUCCACGUGAAAGUAGCGCCCGCUGCGACUCUUUCCUUCUUCUUAUCUUCUGCUUCUGGUUCCCGAGGCUCCGGAGGAACCAUACCGAUAAGGGCUUGCAUCUGCGCGCGCCACCCAUCAGAAUCCGUGUUCAUACAUAAAGGAUUGCCAUCGAUAGGAAGACCGGUGAUCAUAGCAAUAUCCUGCAGCGUCACGGUCAUCUCCCCGGUCCGAAGAUGGAAAGUGUGUGUCUCCGGCCUCCAAUGAUCAAUAAGCGCGGUGAGUGCUGCAGCAUUGUUGGGUGGCGUCGACCGGCGGACCAACUGAAUGAAAGGGAGAAGUCCUGCCUCCCUUACAUACGGUGUGUACCGCUCAUCAUAGCGCAUCCCUCCAAGGCUGAUCCCGUGAGACCGAAGCUUCAGAGGUGCAAGCUCCUACAAACAAACAAAUCAUAACAUUACAUAUGGGGGCAUUUGUGUUUGAAAAAAAAUAAGAAAUUCAUAACACCGGCCACUUUCAGUAUUACCCGCUGCUGCACCGACAUAGCGUACGACCGGUGUUGUUUGUCCCAAUGAUCAUCGAGAAGCCAAACCAUCCUAACAAUUUCAACAAAGCAUUCUUGUCAACACGAUUAUCUUUUCAAUUCAAAAAAACUAAAGUAGGCCUACUACAUGCAAGAUUCAAAGCAUAUGUAUCCAAAACUAAACUAGGCCUACUUCAUACAAAUAACUUUUCCAUACAAAUAACAUGUCAAUCUAUAUAUCCAAACUAUAUAAAUAACAUGUCAACCUAUCUAUCCAAACCACAUUCUAAUCUAACAAGGGUUCCCCAAAUCUAAUAUAUGCAAGAUUCAAACAAAAAUUCCCCAAAUCUAAUACAUACAAGAUUCAAGGGUUCCCCAAAUCUUCAAAAUGUAAUAUUUUCUAUGGAUAGAAAGAAGGGGAUCGGAGGAGAGUACCUUCUACGAUGGAUUGGUGAAGAAAUGCACGGACCAAAUCGUCGGAUCGGAAGGAUUUGGGAGAGGGGAUUGAGAGGGGGAGUGGAGAGGGCCGCCGCCUUCUGUAACUGGCAAUAGGGUGGGUGGGGUAGGAGAGGGCUGGCGCGGUUGCAGAUAAGUCACAGUGCAGCGCCUAGCGGCUAGGCGCUGCACAUUACAUGUGUAGCGCCUAGCGGCUAGGCGUUGCACAUUACAUGUGCGGCGCCUAGCUCGGAGGCGUUGCACUGCUGGGUGCGGGCCCAUGGGCUGCCACGGUGGACAGAGGUGCAACGCCCCAGAGCUAGGCGCUGCACCGUAGGGUGUGGCGCCGGCGUGGCGGGCGCUACACAAAAGGGUCAGGGGUGUGAAAUAGUUUCGCACCCAGUUUAUUCUGUGAAUUUAUUUUGUUUUCAGGUCAAAAUUGUCAAAUUUGCCUGCUGAGAAUGGUUCUUUUGUCGGUGGUUCCAUUGAGAAACUAAACUCAGCUGUGCGAAUUGCAAAAACUACUUGGUUAGAGCAACUACAAUCUUAUCUGUUACAUAGUGAGUGAAUGCAUCUUUUAUUUCGAAUUCUCGAAGAUAGUGCAGCAUCAGCAUUCUAAGGGUGUUCAAUGCGAAUGAGAAAACAGAGUAUCUACGUCCAACAAAAAAUAGUUGGUUCCUAUCAUGUCCCAAACCAUGUGGGAGGCAAACAUCACCAGCAAGCGCACUGGGAACGUAUUGGAUCGCGUCUAUAUAGUCGUUGCCCGCAGUUCCCAUCUCAAAC
rnacentral:lncRNA from 1 species